rnacentral:rRNA from 1 species
UACGUAGGGUGCAAGCGUUGUCCGGAAUUAUUGGGCGUAAAGGGCUCGUAGGCGGUCCGUCACGUCGGCUGUGAAAACCCGGGGCUCAACCCCAGGCCUGCAGUCGAUACGGGCGGACUAGAGUUCGGCAGGGGAGACUGGAAUUCCUGGUGUAGCGGUGAAAUGCGCAGAUAUCAGGAAGAACACCCGUGGCGAAGGCGGUUCUCUGGGACGGUACUGACGCUGAGACGCGAAAGCGUGGGGAGCGAACAGG